UAACAGGAUUAGAUACCCUGGUAGUCCACGCCGUAAACGUUGGGCGCUAGAUGUAGGGACCUUUCCACGGUUUCUGUGUCGUAGCUAACGCAUUAAGCGCCCCGCCUGGGGAGUACGGCCGCAAGGCUAAAACUCAAAGGAAUUGACGGGGGCCCGCACAAGCGGCGGAGCAUGCGGAUUAAUUCGAUGCAACGCGAAGAACCUUACCAAGGCUUGACAUACACCGGAAACGGCCAGAGAUGGUCGCCCCCUUGUGGUCGGUGUACAGGUGGUGCAUGGUUGUCGUCAGCUCGUGUCGUGAGAUGUUGGGUUAAGUCCCGCAACGAGCGCAACCCUCGUUCUAUGUUGCCAGCGCGUUAUGGCGGGGACUCAUAGGAGACUGCCGGGGUCAACUCGGAGGAAGGUGGGGAUGACGUCAAAUCAUCAUGCCCCUUAUGUCUUGGGCUUCACGCAUGCUACAAUGGCCGGUACAAAGGGCUGCGAUACCGUAAGGUGGAGCGAAUCCCAAAAAGCCGGUCUCAGUUCGGAUUGAGGUCUGCAACUCGACCUCAUGAAGUCGGAGUCGCUAGUAAUCGCAGAUCAGCAACGCUGCGGUGAAUACGUUCCCGGGCCUUGUACACACCGCCCGUCAAGUCAUGAAAGUCGGUAACACCCGAAGCCGGUGGCCUAACCCUUGUGGAAGGAGCCGUCGAAGGUGGGAUCGGUGAUUAGGACUAAGUCGUAACAAGGUAACCA
rnacentral:rRNA from 2 species